AUGCAGUCGAACGCUUUUUCUUUCACCGGAGCUUGCUCCACCGAAAGAAAAAGAGUGGCGAACGGGUGAGUAACACGUGGGUAACCUGCCCAUCAGAAGGGGAUAACACUUGGAAACAGGUGCUAAUACCGUAUAACACUAUUUUCCGCAUGGAAGAAAGUUGAAAGGCGCUUUUGCGUCACUGAUGGAUGGACCCGCGGUGCAUUAGCUAGUUGGUGAGGUAACGGCUCACCAAGGCAACGAUGCAUAGCCGACCUGAGAGGGUGAUCGGCCACACUGGGACUGAGACACGGCCCAGACUCCUACGGGAGGCAGCAGUAGGGAAUCUUCGGCAAUGGACGAAAGUCUGACCGAGCAACGCCGCGUGAGUGAAGAAGGUUUUCGGAUCGUAAAACUCUGUUGUUAGAGAAGAACAAGGAUGAGAGUAAAAUGUUCAUCCCUUGACGGUAUCUAACCAGAAAGCCACGGCUAACUACGUGCCAGCAGCCGCGGUAAUACGUAGGUGGCAAGCGUUGUCCGGAUUUAUUGGGCGUAAAGCGAGCGCAGGCGGUUUCUUAAGUCUGAUGUGAAAGCCCCCGGCUCAACCGGGGAGGGUCAUUGGAAACUGGGAGACUUGAGUGCAGAAGAGGAGAGUGGAAUUCCAUGUGUAGCGGUGAAAUGCGUAGAUAUAU
rnacentral:rRNA from 1 species